UGCAUUCUGGUUUCUUCCAUCCUAGAUUGCCUUUUCUUUUAAAAUAAGAAACUUCCUGGAUUGCAUUGAGAAUGGGACGUGUGUGGCUUUGAAGAUGCUCUAGAAGCAGAUACAGCGCCAUACCCUUAUAAAUCAUUACGAUUCUGGAACUCAGGCUCUAACAGUCUGCACCGCGCCACAAUCGUCCUCCAAGGAUGCACGUUCAAAAUUGAAAACUGCUAAGCCCGCCAUGUCGGCAAGGUCCUUUCGGGCGGCCAUGUUCCUGCUGGUCCAGCUUGCUGGCAUCUAUUUGGAACACGCAGCAGGGGACCCGGGGGGUUGUACCGGAAACCCCAAUCAGCGUCCCAUGUCUUGCCCUCGGGGCCCUCCAAAUCUGCCGUGUAAUCGUCCACCAUGUCCGGGUUCUUAGUUGCCAUGAGCAGCGUUGCAAUGCACAUUUUCAAACGGGUUGUAUCAGCAAAGAUGACACGACAACGGUGCACCCAACUCAAGAAUCGAGUCCGGACUACUGUUGGUUUUCUACAACUACAGUAAAAACACACUCAAACUUCACUGGACAGGAGAAAAUGAGCGGUCACGUCGUACGACUACAUUAAAUGCAUUCUGGUUUCUUCCAUCCUAGAUUGCCUUUUCUUUUAAAAUAAGAAACUUCCUGGAUUGCAUUGAGAAUGAGACGUGUGUGGCUUUGAAGAUGCUGUAGAAGCAGAUACAACGCCAUACGCCCAUACCCUUAUAUA